AGAAGUCGUAACAAGGUUUCCGUAGGUGAACCUGGCGGAAGGAUCAUUG
rnacentral:rRNA from 1 species